AACGAACGCUGGCGGCAUGCCUAACACAUGCAAGUCGAACGGGACCCUCGGGUCUAGUGGCGCACGGGUGCGUAACGCGUGGGAAUCUGCCCUCUGGUACGGAAUAACUCAGGGAAACUUGAGCUAAUACCGUAUAAUGACUUCGGUCCAAAGAUUUAUCGCCUGAGGAUGAGCCCGCGUCGGAUUAGCUAGUUGGUGAGGUAAAGGCUCACCAAGGCGACGAUCCGUAGCUGGUCUGAGAGGAUGAUCAGCCACACUGGGACUGAGACACGGCCCAGACUCCUACGGGAGGCAGCAGUGGGGAAUAUUGGACAAUGGGCGAAAGCCUGAUCCAGCAAUGCCGCGUGAGUGAUGAAGGCCUUAGGGUUGUAAAGCUCUUUUACCCGGGAUGAUGAUGACAGUACCGGGAGAAUAAGCCCCGGCUAACUCCGUGCCAGCCGCCGCCGUAA
rnacentral:rRNA from 1 species